CCUACGGGAGGCAGCAGUAGGGAAUCUUCCACAAUGGGCGAAAGCCUGAUGGAGCAACGCCGCGUGGGUGAAGAAGGUCUUCGGAUCGUAAAACCCUGUUGUUAGAGAAGAAAGUGCGUGAGAGUGACUGUUCACGUUUCGACGGUAUCUACCCAGAAAGCCACGGCUAACUACGGGCCAGCAGCCGCGGUAAUACGUAGGUGGAAAGAGUUAUCCGGAUUUAUUGGGCGUAAAGGGAACGCAGGCGGUCUUUUAAGUCUGAUGUGAAAGCCGUCGGCUUAAACGGAGUAGUGCAUUGGAAACUGGUAGACUUGAGUGCAGAAGAGGAGAGUGGAACUCCAUGUGUAGCGGUGAAAUGCGUAGAUAUCACGCAGAACUCCGAUUGCGAAGGCAGCAUACCGGCGCCCGACUGACGCUGAGGCACGAAAGCGUGGGGAUCGAACAGGAUUAGAUACCCUUGUAGUC
rnacentral:rRNA from 1 species